CGGGACACGUGGUAUCCUGUCUGAAUAUGGGGGGACCAUCCUCCAAGGCUAAAUACUCCUGACUGACCGAUAGUGAACCAGUACCGUGAGGGAAAGGCGAAAAGAACCCCGGCGAGGGGAGUGAAAAAGAACCUGAAACCGUGUACGUACAAGCAGUGGGAGCACGCUUAGGCGUGUGACUGCGUACCUUUUGUAUAAUGGGUCAGCGACUUAUAUUCUGUAGCAAGGUUAACCGAAUAGGGGAGCCGAAGGGAAACCGAGUCUUAACUGGGCGUUAAGUUGCAGGGUAUAGACCCGAAACCCGGUGAUCUAGCCAUGGGCAGGUUGAAGGUUGGGUAACACUAACUGGAGGACCGAACCGACUAAUGUUGAAAAAUUAGCGGAUGACUUGUGGCUGGGGGUGAAAGGCCAAUCAAACCGGGAGAUAGCUGGUUCUCCCCGAAAGCUAUUUAGGUAGCGCCUCGUGAAUUCAUCUCCGGGGGUAGAGCACUGUUUCGGCAAGGGGGUCAUCCCGACUUACCAACCCGAUGCAAACUGCGAAUACCGGAGAAUGUUAUCACGGGAGACACACGGCGGGUGCUAACGUCCGUCGUGAAGAGGGAAACAACCCAGACCGCCAGCUAAGGUCCCAAAGUCAUGGUUAAGUGGGAAACGAUGUGGGAAGGCCCAGACAGCCAGGAUGUUGGCUUAGAAGCAGCCAUCAUUUAAAGAAAGCGUAAUAGCUCACUGGUCGAGUCGGCCUGCGCGGAAGAUGUAACGGGGCUAAACCAUGCACCGAAGCUGCGGCAGCGACGCUGAUGCGUUGUUGGGUAGGGGAGCGUUCUGUAAGCCUGUGAAGGUGUGCUGUGAGGCAUGCUGGAGGUAUCAGAAGUGCGAAUGCUGACAUAAGUAACGAUAAAGCGGGUGAAAAGCCCGCUCGCCGGAAGACCAAGGGUUCCUGUCCAACGUUAAUCGGGGCAGGGUGAGUCGACCCCUAAGGCGAGGCCGAAAGGCGUAGUCGAUGGGAAACAGGUUAAUAUUCCUGUACUUGGUGUUACUGCGAAGGGGGGACGGAGAAGGCUAUGUUGGCCGGGCGACGGUUGUCCCGGUUUAAGCGUGUAGGCUGGUUUUCCAGGCAAAUCCGGAAAACUAAGGCUGAGGCGUGAUGACGAGGCACUACGGUGCUGAAGCAACAAAUGCCCUGCUUCCAGGAAAAGCCUCUAAGCAUCAGGUAACAUCAAAUCGUACCCCAAACCGACACAGGUGGUCAGGUAGAGAAUACCAAGGCGCUUGAGAGAACUCGGGUGAAGGAACUAGGCAAAAUGGUGCCGUAACUUCGGGAGAAGGCACGCUGAUAUGUAGGUGAAGUCCCUCGCGGAUGGAGCUGAAAUCAGUCGAAGAUACCAGCUGGCUGCAACUGUUUAUUAAAAACACAGCACUGUGCAAACACGAAAGUGGACGUAUACGGUGUGACGCCUGCCCGGUGCCGGAAGGUUAAUUGAUGGGGUCAGCGCAAGCGAAGCUCUUGAUCGAAGCCCCGGUAAACGGCGGCCGUAACUAUAACGGUCCUAAGGUAGCGAAAUUCCUUGUCGGGUAAGUUCCGACCUGCACGAAUGGCGUAAUGAUGGCCAGGCUGUCUCCACCCGAGACUCAGUGAAAUUGAACUCGCUGUGAAGAUGCAGUGUACCCGCGGCAAGACGGAAAGACCCCGUGAACCUUUACUAUAGCUUGACACUGAACAUUGAGCCUUGAUGUGUAGGAUAGGUGGGAGGCUUUGAAGUGUGGACGCCAGUCUGCAUGGAGCCGACCUUGAAAUACCACCCUUUAAUGUUUGAUGUUCUAACGUUGACCCGUAAUCCGGGUUGCGGACAGUGUCUGGUGGGUAGUUUGACUGGGGCGGUCUCCUCCUAAAGAGUAACGGAGGAGCACGAAGGUUGGCUAAUCCUGGUCGGACAUCAGGAGGUUAGUGCAAU
rnacentral:rRNA from 1 species